UACGUAGGGUGCGAGCGUUGUCCGGAAUUAUUGGGCGUAAAGAGCUUGUAGGCGGUUUGUCGCGUCUGCUGUGAAAAUCCGGGGCUCAACCCCGGACUUGCAGUGGGUACGGGCAGACUAGAGUGUGGUAGGGGAGACUGGAAUUCCUGGUGUAGCGGUGAAAUGCGCAGAUAUCAGGAGGAACACCGGUGGCGAAGGCGGGUCUCUGGGCCGAUACUGACGCUGAGGAGCGAAGGCCAGGGGGAGCAAACGGG
rnacentral:rRNA from 1 species